rnacentral:rRNA from 1 species
CAUGUCUUUAGUUUAAUGAUUUAAGGUCUGGCCUGCACGAUGAGGUUUAAAUUGCCGCAGUAUUUUGACUGUGCAAAGGUAGCAUAAUAAUUAGUUUCUUGAUUAGAAGCUUGUAUGAAUGGUUGGACGAGAAAUUAGCUGUCUCUGUUUAAUUUAUGUGUUGAAUUUAAUUUUUAAGUUAGAAAGCUUAAAUUUGUUUAAAAGACGAGAAGACCCUAUAGAGUUUUAUAGUUCUUGAUGCUAAAAUUUUAGAAGUUUUUGGUUUCUGUAAUUAUUUGGUUGGGGUGACUUGAAGAUUGAAUAAAUUCUUUAAAUAAUUAAUUGAUGAUAUUUAAUUUUAAAUUCUAUUAUUUUAAGUUUAAAUUAAAUUACCUUAGGGAUAACAGCGUAAUUUUUCUUUAUAGUUCUUAUAGAAAGAAGAGUUUGCGACCUCGAUGUUGGAUUAAAAUUAAUUUAUGGUGAAGUAGCUUUGUAAUUGGGUCUGUUCGACCUUUAAAAUUUUACAUGAUCUGAGUUUAGACCGGUGUGAGCCAGGUUAGAUUCUAUCUUUAUAUUUAUUUAAUAUUUUAGUACGAAAGGACCGAAUAUUAGUUAUAAUUAGUUG